rnacentral:rRNA from 1 species
AUGUCAAGUCAGCAUGGCUCUUACGCCUCGGGCUACAAACGUGCUACAAUGGCGCUUACAAAAAGUCGCGACGCCGCAAGGCGGAGCUAAUCUCUAAAAAGCGCCUCAGUUCAGAUUGUCCUCUGCAACUCGGGGGCAUGAAGUCGGAAUUACUAGUAAUCGUGGAUCAGCAUGCCACGGUGAAUGCGUUCUCGGGUCUU